rnacentral:ncRNA from 1 species
GUGAGCCUAGUGAUAGGAAACUAUCUUGCUUGGUUCAGAGAGCACUUGUUGGGUUAAAUAUUUAUUUGUUGCUAAAUGUUACGGCCUAAGUGUGAACUAUUGACCCUGC